rnacentral:rRNA from 1 species
UACGGAGGGUGCAAGCGUUGUUCGGAAUCACUGGGCGUAAAGGGCGCGUAGGCGGCUAUGCAAGUCGGAUGUGAAAGCCCACGGCUUAACCGUGGAAGUGCAUCUGAAACUGCAUGGCUUGAGUAUCGGAGGGGAAAGUGGAAUUCCCGGUGUAGAGGUGAAAUUCGUAGAUAUCGGGAGGAAUACCGGUGGCGAAGGCGACUUUCUGGACGAAUACUGACGCUGAGGCGCGAAAGCGUGGGGAGCAAACAGG